GAUGAACGCUGGCGGUAUGCUUUACACAUGCAAGUCGUACGAGAGUUUUGAACUCAAGUGGCGGACGGGUGAGUAACACGUAAGAAUUUGCCUUUAGGAGGGGGACAACAACUGGAAACGGUUGCUAAUACCCCAUAUGCUUUCGAGUGAAAUGGAUUUUUCCGCCUAAAGAGAAGCUUGCGGCUGAUUAGCUUGUUGGUGAGGUAAUGGCUCACCAAGGCGACGAUCAGUAUCUGGUUUGAGAGGACGAUCAGACACACUGGAACUGAGACACGGUCCAGACUCCUACGGGAGGCAGCAGUGAGGAAUUUUCCGCAAUGGGCGAAAGCCUGACGGAGCAAUACCGCGUGAGGGAUGACGGCCUAUGGGUUGUAAACCUCUUUUUUCAGGGAGGAAUCAAAUGACGUGUACCUGAAGAAUAAGCAUCGGCUAACUCCGUGCCAGCAGCCGCGGUAAGACGGAGGAUGCAAGUGUUAUCCGGAAUCACUGGGCGUAAAGCGUCUGUAGGUGGUCCAAUAAGUCAACUGUUAAAUCUUGAGGCUCAACCUCAGAAUCGCAGUCGAAACUAU
rnacentral:rRNA from 1 species